AGUGAACGCUGGCGGCAGGCCUAACACAUGCAAGUCGAGCGGCAGCGGGUUCCCGCGAGGGGAUGCCGGCGAGCGGCGGACGGGUGAGGAACACAUCGGAAUCUGCCUGGUUGUGGGGAUAACGUAGGAACGUUACGCUAAUACGCAUGCGACCCUGAGUCGACGGACGUGGGGGUGGAAAGGUAGGGGACCGUUCGGGCCUCGACGCGACCAGAUGAGCCGAUGUCGG
rnacentral:rRNA from 1 species